AGGACGAACGCUGGCGGCGUGCUUAACACAUGCAAGUCGAGCGGAAAGGCCCUUCGGGGUACUCGAGCGGCGAACGGGUGAGUAACACGUGAGCAAUCUGCCCUUAGCUUCGGGAUAGCUCCGGGAAACCGGAAUUAAUACCGGAUAUGACUAUGGCUGACAUCAGCCACGGUGGAAAGUUUUCGGCUAGGGAUGAGCUCGCGGCCUAUCAGCUAGUUGGUGGGGUAACGGCCUACCAAGGCGACGACGGGUA
rnacentral:rRNA from 1 species